rnacentral:rRNA from 1 species
CGGGUGAGUAAUGUCUGGGAAACUGCCCGAUGGAGGGGGAUAACUACUGGAAACGGUAGCUAAUACCGCAUAACGUCGCAAGACCAAAGAGGGGGACCUUCGGGCCUCUUGCCAUCGGAUGUGCCCAGAUGGGAUUAGCUAGUAGGUGGGGUAACGGCUCACCUAGGCGACGAUCCCUAGCUGGUCUGAGAGGAUGACCAGCCACACUGGAACUGAGACACGGUCCAGACUCCUACGGGAGGCAGCAGUGGGGAAUAUUGCACAAUGGGCGCAAGCCUGAUGCAGCCAUGCCGCGUGUAUGAAGAAGGCCUUCGGGUUGUAAAGUACUUUCAGCGAGGAGGAAGGCGUUGUGGUUAAUAACCGCAGCGAUUGACGUUACUCGCAGAAGAAGCACCGGCUAACUCCGUGCCAGCAGCCGCGGUAAUAC